rnacentral:lncRNA from 13 species
AUUUCUCUACUAAGAUUACAUGUAAAAACAGUUGAAUAUGGCAAAUUUUGCUAAAGGGAAGACAAGAAGAGACGAAAAGCAUGCUGUCACUUUCUUCUUUCCAUCUAGGAGGAUCUAACCAUCACUGCAGUCGAAGCCCUGCAAACCCGAAUGCUUAGUGUCUUAGUUUCGGUUUCCCCAGAAGCUGAACCAGACAUAAGGACAUGAGGGCAAGCAGUUUAUUUGGGAGGUGCAGGAAACACUAGUUGAGGGUGGUAGGGGAGAGGCCCAGGGAAGUGAAGUCAUCCGUUAAAGAGUGCUUUAUUAAGCUAGCUAUCACUGUGUGUGGCUGGAGCUUAAUCCUGCAGGAGACCUCUGGAAUAUCGUAGAAAACACACACCUCAGAAUGACCCCAUCUGAGAGGAGUCUUGCUCUGUCACCCAGGCUGGAGUCUUGGCUCACUGCAAUGUUGCCUCCCAAGUUCGAGAAAUUCUCCUGCCUCAGCCUCCCAAGUAGCUGGAAUUUCAG